CUUUCAGGAUCAGCUGAAAUGCUUUCUUCCUGGGCACCACUAGCCAAGAGGAGGCUGAGGCCCUGCCACGGGGCCGCGCACUGGCGUUUUCCCACGGUCUGCAUGGCAUAACGUGACAGGUGGCCCAGUGAAGCACCGGCUCGUCCCACUCCCAUUUGCUCUCUGCCCUUGUCUGCUUCCAUCCUCCCAAUAUACCAGCACCGGCCUCAUCUUCAUGAAGGUGAUGAUGAUGAUGAAGAGGGACAGGAGGAGCAGGAGGAGGAGAAGGAGCAGAAGGAGCAGGAGGAGGAGGAGCAGAAGCAGGAGGAGGAGCAGGAGGAGGAGGAGCAGAAGCAGGAGGAGAAGCAGGAGGAGGAGGAGCAGGAGCAGGAGCAGGAGGAGGAGCAGGAGGAGGAGCAAGAGGAGGAGCAGGAGGAGGAGGAGCAGCAGGUAGAGGAGCAGGUGGAGGAGCAGGAGCAGGAGCAGGAGCAGGAGGAGCAGGAGGAAAGCCAGCAUUGGAAACUACAGCACAACCCGCCACCCCUUCCCAUGGCCUUCUGUGAACCGCUCCAGACCAAGCACAGAGCCCGUGGCCGGUCCACGGAUGCUCUGCACCCUCCUGGCCUCUGUCAGCACCAUCUCGGUGCCGCCGCUCAUCCUUUCCUGCCACCCUGCCCUCGCCCUUCAUCCCUGCACAGAGCUCCUGCUUCCCAGCAUCCGUUUUCUCCUAAGCACCAUCCAGCUGGAUGCAAGCCCACUCCUGCAUGUGGCUCCUACACUAGACACCCGCAAUUCUGAAGGUCAGUUAGACUUCAAAUUCAUUAAAGAUCCAGGGGACACUCGACAUUUAUCUGGUGGCACACAAAGAACACCUGAUAAAAAGUUAAUUUAGGAUGGAAUGACUAGAAGCCCUUGCCUGCGAAUGGAACGCUGAUGGAGAAACCCUGAAGUUAAGGGUGGGCAACUUUAUGAAGAAAAGAUGUUUAUCUAGCUCACAGCUCUGGAGGUUCAGGGCCCUGGCGCAGCACAUCAUGGUGGGUGGCAUUGCAAGGGUGGCAGUGUGCGAGAGGUGCCGGAAGCCAGACAGGGGGCUCCCCCAGCAGGGCCCACAUCUCAGCGGUCCUCAUGGGCACGGCGAGGACCACACACCCCACCCAAGCCACGGCAGCAUCUAACUGCAGAAGACAUCAUCAGAGGCCGAGAGAGCCAGUCACCCCGCCAGGAGGCGUUCUGGCCCAGAGGGGACAGCCCCACUGCAGUGGCAGAGGCCCAGGGGGAGGCUCCUCCUGUGGACCCCGGUGCUCUAGGAGGCCUGGGAAUCCAGUUGCCCAUGUGUAGAUCUGCACAGCUGGGACCCGACCUCAAGAUGAUGAUAUCUGGGUCACUGAGUUCUUUUCCACCUCAAAGAAAAUGACGGCAGGUCUCUUAGGGCUUGGCUGGUAUAAAUCCAUCUGCAC
rnacentral:lncRNA from 1 species